AUGGGGAUGGGAAACCUGAUUGGUCGAGGGCCUCAAAGGGCCGUGACCCUGCUGGAGUGCGGGGGGGACCUUCAGCCCCCCGGGGGGUCCCUGCGCCUCCUCUGCCGAGGGUCCGGGUUUGAUUUCGGCCAAUUUGGGAUGGGCUGGAUGCGCCAGAGACCCGGGCAGGGGCUGGAAUACGUCGCGGGGAUUAAGAGUGAUGGCAGCACCGCGUACGCGCCGUCAGUGCGGGGCAGGGUCAGGAUCUCCAGGGACAACGGGCAGAGCUCGGUGACGCUGACCAUGACCGACCUCCGGGACGAGGAUUCCGGAUCCUAUUUCUGUGCCAAGCGAGCUUACGCUGAUAAUUGGGAUCUUGGUGCUAAUUUUGUAGACUCCAGUGCUGGAUCCGCCCCCAUCUCAGUGUCCCCACCUGUCCCCAAACCCAGACCCUUCCCCAAAUCUCAGCCAUUACCCCUUGUCCCAAAUCUCCCUCAUUUGCACCAACGGUGACCGCUGACCCCAAAC